CCUCUCAAGGCAAUUGUCAACCAAAUUUGUUGAAAUGCUUUUUGAUUCUCCUUUAAUUUGUGUGUGCUCGUCUUCAUAGUUAUUUUGAUCUUUUCUUGUAUGCUUUCAUACCAUCAUCAGAUGAGAUUGAUUGCAACGAUGAACACCAUAGGUCUGCCUAGAGGCAGAGGAGUUGGAGCUGGAGGAAGGCCACAUCUGGGACAUUUCUGAGGAGCUUGGGGAAAGAUCAGGAAACUCAAGAGAAAGGAAGGAGCAGAUGGUGCAUAAGAGGUGAUCUGCAGCAGAUUUCAUCUUGGGAACAAGAGAAGAGAGUUGUCCCACAGGGGAGAAGCACAAGAAACCAUUGAAGGUCAGCACCAUGGGUGCAACCACAACUUCCUGAUGCACUGAUUUUGGCAGCUGGCCACCAGGUCCCUGAGAGCAGCUACGGAGGCUGUGGCUUCUCUCCUGUCCUGCUGACUUUGCACAGUAUUUCUAGUUGUAGUUGAUAUUAAUAGGGAAAAAAAAAAAGAAGGGUGAGAAGUUAUGCCCAAGUUCAAGAAUGCAACAUUUUCAUGGACAUGCUGCUUGUUAACAAAAUAAAAUAAAAUAAUAAAAUGGAAUGUCAGAUGUCACCUGCUUGUAGCUCCUAUGGAGCAUUUAAGUUUUGUUGAGUCAGUGUGGUUUUUCCCAUUCUUAGGCUAAGCACCAAGGCAGCUCUUUCUAAGAUAGAUCUUUGAGCUUCUGAAGUAGUGAAUGCCAUUUGAUUAACACAUUCUAUUGUACAAAAUAAAUAAAUAAAUGUACUCUUUGUACAAUUUUAGAGUAAUUUUGUUAGGUACAUUCAGCAGGAGCAGCAGGCUGCAAAUUCAUAACAUUACUGAUACUUUGGAUGACUUUUAGACACUGGCAAGCCAAUACUAGUGUCUUCCCCUUGGGUCUAUAGAUCAGUUUGUUUAAAGAACUGUUAGGCAUAAUAAAAUAUUGCAUUUAUUUCUAAAUAUUUACCUGUAAUUGUUGUAAAUAUCAAGCUUUUUAUUACCAGUAACAAUAAUACUUGUAAUUAAUUAACAAGGUCUAAUUCUUCCUUUGCUAAUACAAUCAGCUUUCCAGAGGAUGAAUCUCUUACACAAUGAUAGCAAAGUGAAAAUUUUCCUUGGAUGGAAAAUAUGAUUUAUAAAU
rnacentral:lncRNA from 7 species